ACUAUAUAGGUGUUAUACUACUUGGUAUACCACGAAUUAAAUUAUAACCGACUUUAUAGUUUUUGUUUAUCAAUAUUUUAUUACUUUGGCGUCUUUUGCAUCGAAUCUUAACAAAAUCUUUUUUUUAUUCCUAAGCGGAAUAGUGUUAUAAAUACUUACUGAAAACCAACUUAAUGUACUGGAAGAGUUAUCCCCAUCGUUACCACUCUUAACCCGGCACCCGACAUUCGCCGAGCUACACUCCGAUCGUUUACAUCAAGAAAUCUAUUUAUCAACAAAUGUCAGUUGACAGUUGGAAGUUUUAAAAAUGUAUUAUUUUUUUUUUUUUUUUUAAUUACAUAAAGCUAUAAUUUAUAAAUGAUUUUAAAAAAAAUAUGUAUUUACGAUUAUUUGUAAAUUAGAUAAGUCGUUAUUGUAACAGCAUAAAUCGAUCGACACGCACAUGACGUAAUUAUUAUCAACUAAAAUUAUUAUUUAUUAAUUUUCUAUGAAACAUCGGCGAUCGAGUGCAAUUACUCGAACUUUACUAGCUUAAAGCCUAACUGCAACGGUUAGAACAUUUCGAGUUUGUAUAAGGACUAAGGAGUGCACCCUGAAUAAUUUUUGUGAAUUACGUAGUACAAUACGAUAUUCGUCGCCAUGACUAUGAAAUAUUCACAGACAAACGGCACGAACUGCCGAGCGUAUUAUACAUUUUGCUCGACGAAACAUUUUUUAAUCUUUUUAUUUUUUUUUUUAUUUUUUACGCAAUAUUAUUAAUAAUUUAUGCAAUUGAAACCACACAAUUGUUGAACUGAACACAGACCGAGAAAACAUGCGACUGCAACUGGUCGUGUCCGUGGCGUAUACGUAUACACUCGUCGCGCACAUUUAUCGUUUGCCUCUGCGUGUACAACAACCGAAAAGAUUUCGCGGCCGACGCGCGGCGAUAAAUUCUUAGAUUUAUCGCCUCGGCCGCUGUGGUGUUACAGGUUUCUAUUGUUGUCAUAUCUGCGGGAGGAGGGAAAAAUUCAAGUGAAAAUGCCGUCCUUGUUAUCCCACUACCCCCGAAAAAAAAAUGUACGCCACUACAACUGGAGUUAAUAAACUAUUAUAAUACUCAAAAUAAUGAUACCACUUGUGCGUUGUACAUACGUCCUACGGUCCUUAUUACACGGACGUCAACGUACUAAUACGUAUGCCGACCUGGGAUGCUGUAUCUCGAGAAACGUUUUAAUCCACUGUCGUUCCGAGUGGUGUGGUUGGUUCCGUGCUCUGGGGUUAAAUGUGAUGGUUUUGAUGACAAAACGUUUUCGGAUGAAUGGCGCGGGGGGCGGAUGCAGCGGUUCCGGUCGGGUUGUCGCAGAAAAUCGCAUCAGACAACCUACGGGAAGAGAAUAAUCGCAUAUAUUAUAACCGUGUGGGUGUGUUUGUUUAGCGAAAGAAUUUGCGACGGUAACGACAAUAAUACUAUAACAACACGACGACCGAGAUUGUGCCAUUAUUGUACCUAUAUAUUUAUAUGCAUAAUAUUAUUAUGCCGUCGUUUCCGCGUCGUGCACAAAUGCUAAAACUGGGUGAACAACCGGAAUAAUAUUUUAAUUACGAAAAAUUUAAUAUCAGAAUAUAAUAUACAUAAUUAAAAGGAAAGUGUCUGCAGAUAGCGAGAGAGGGAGAGAGUCAGAUAGGAGGAGACGUUGUGUGGAUAAAUAUUGUUUUAUCGCCGCGUCCGUGUCAAUAUUAUACGCGCGUAUACGAUAUAAUAACAAAUAGUUUACAGGACAACGCGGCUCGAUGAAUAAUGCAAAAAAUACGGUAAAUUGCGUACAGAAAGCGCCGCUGUGUUUUCCUGCACAGCGGAAAAGGGAAACACCCAGCCUUUGUGUUAAAAUAAUAUUGUUUAAAUAUGUCAUUUUUGUGUGUAUAAUUAUUAAAAAGUCAAACGAAAAACACCGCUGUGUGAAUUCCUCCAUUGUAACCGGCGAAAUGGCAACAAUAAUAAUAUUAUAUUAUCAUUAUCAUAUUGCUCACAAUAAGUAUAUUAUUAUUAUUAUAAUAUUUUACACUGCUCACUGCGCAGUGACAGCGGCGUACUUUUGGGAUGAUUAUUCACGAUGUCUGACAAACGAAACAAUGAUUUUGUAAAUGUUACGCACUUAAUAUGAUAAGGAAAAACGACUUCACACAAUUCAUUCGUUUUUUUCCUCGAAAAUUAACACCUACACAUUUAACACGGGCUAAGAAUGUAAUUGUGAUUUUUUCAUCAUCUGGAUUUCGUUUUUAAAUUAACGUUUUUCAUUGUAAUCUUCCAAACGUCUUCUAGUUAACAAAUUACAGCAAAGAAAUAGCGAUUUUUAUUUUAAGCAGUUUGUAUCACCGGAGGAUUUAUUCAUUAAGGCCUUAAAUGGCUUAAAAAAUUUAAGUAUUUCGACGUGAGAUCCUUAAGAACCUAGGCAUAUAAACAACCAGAAUUCGAAUAAAUUAAUUAACAGAAUAAAACACGGGGAUGAGUAUGCUUAGAGAAUCACCCUGUAUACAUACAUAAUACAUCACGUAUAUUAUCUUUAACGCCUCGAGGCUAAUAAUCGUCAUGUACACACGAUUCAAUUGUGCAUGCUCUGAUCGCGCGCACAUUGUUAUAUCGGCCGACUAAAAAGUCAAGUAUAAUAAAUUGAUAAUAUACAUAUAUAUAUAUAUAUAUAUAUAUAUAUUAUAUAUUAUGAGUGUGCACACGAUGACUAAACAAUAUAUAUACAUAUAUAGUGCUUAUAUGUUUUAAAACAAAAAGUUCUGGCGGUGUGUCCAAAACUUUGCCUGGAGCUCUUUGUCUUUCCGUCUCCUUUUCUUAAUCCGACUAUAUAUCUAUGUGCUCGUGUAUUUUAAGAUCCGAGAUUCCGGUAUAAUCGUUGUCGAGACUUUAUGUAUGUAUUGUUAUUCUAAUAACAAUCUAAUCGAAACGUAUCGGAUACCGUUCAACGGUUUCAAGGGGAUGUGUAAUAAAAAUAUUAUAAAAUCAAACAAACAAAUAUAAUAUCUAUCACGUUUGAUGUUUAUUGUAUACAGAGGUCUCAAACCAAUUUCGUCACACGUUCGAUAAAACAUUUUUAUAACACUGUUUAGUUUUAGUGGCAUUUGGCGUAGAUAUUUUUUUUGUUUUUUAAAAGGAUGUGAUUUAAUAGUCACUUGAGUAUUUUAAUUUUAUUACUAAUAGUAUUAUACGUAUUACGUACAUUGCAGUAGUAUACUGUGUACAAUGUGUACACUGUACAUAUACAUAUUAUAUGUAUAACAUUAUUAGGGCAUUUGACAGAGCGUGUUUUAAGGACUUUUGAAAUACGCUUCUCAAGUGCCUUCAAACUGCCUCCUUAAUUGCAGCUGAUAAUAUGGUUAGAUAUUGAACAAUAUAUGUACUACCGCUUUUUAAAAAGUGUUCAUCUCAAUAUUGUUACUUUUACUCAUACAUAAAUAGGUUAGGUUAGGUAUGUUAAAGGCAUAAGAUGUGAACUCUUCGUGGUGUAUACUAAUAAAAAUUAAUCAAUUUUCUAUAAUAAAUUAUUCAAAUUAAUCUAUUGUAAAUAAUUUGUGACAUAACGUGUUCAAUAUUUUUACUGUCCAUCAUAAUAGUGAAUUUUUUUUCGGGCGUUUAUUUUUAGUAUUGUUUGCUUCUAUAGUAUAAUUGGUUUAUAUCUAUUUAAAAUACGAUCGCUUUGCGUUAUAUUACAUUUUUUAAUUAACGCAUUGUAAUGAAAUGAAGUCCUGUAUGCAUCGUAACAGAAACAAAACAAUCAAAAACUAUGAACCCGCGCAUAAAAUAAUAUAUAAUAUGUGUUUUGUAUUUUAUUACAAAAAUUAAAUGUUUUAUCGGGGCAAUAUCAUUGUUGAAAAUAAUUUAACUACUACUUUUAAAACGUUGAACGAAUUUUGUUUUUAGAGUUCCCUCACGUCGUAAAAUAUUAUUUUAUUCUUUAAAUGAUACAUUAACAUAUUAAAUAUUGCAAUACUCGCAAGAACCGAUGAAAAGGCAUAUUAAUUAUACAUACACAUUGCAGUCUAACCUAAAUUGACGUUUGGUUU